rnacentral:rRNA from 1 species
UACGGAGGGUGCAAGCGUUAUCCGGAUUCACUGGGUUUAAAGGGUGCGUAGGUGGGCAGGUAAGUCAGUGGUGAAAUCUCCGGGCUUAACCCGGAAACUGCCAUUGAUACUAUCUGUCUUGAAUAUCGUGGAGGUGAGCGGAAUAUGUCAUGUAGCGGUGAAAUGCUUAGAUAUGACAUAGAACACCAAUUGCGAAGGCAGCUCACUACACGAAUAUUGACACUGAGGCACGAAAGCGUGGGGAUCAAACAGG